CAAAAAAAAAAACAUCUUUCGAUAUAAUUUUCUCAUCUUUAUAGUAAGUAAAUAGAUAAUUAUAAAUAUGAUUGAACAUUUAGAAUAAAAAAGGUUAUAAGUUGUUGAUUUUCAUGUUAACUGCCCUAAUCCAUAUCCAUGUUUAUCCUAAAAGUGUUAUAAUGUGAUCCAAAAUUUUGGUAAAUUCCGAAGAAAAGAAUAUAGAAAUCAAUUAAACUACAAAUGAUCAUUUUCAUCUAAAAAUUAACAAUUUUAUCAUGCAUAACGUAAUAUAAUUUAUAAUUAAAUAAUACCAACACAAAAAUUAGAUUAUCAAUAUAUUUUAACUGAAUUUUAUAUUAUUUAUCUUACUUUUUUUCUAUUUUUUGUAUAAAAUUUGUAUAGAUUUAUAUAUAAAAAAAAAUCAUUUUUCUCUCUUCACACGUAGAAUAUAUAGGACACAAAACGAUUCAUUUAAGCGAAAUCGUGCAUUUUUAUACGAAAAAGGUCAAACAAGGACGGCUUAAAAAUAUCUAUUUGCCAUUAUAUAAGCAUUAACCAAAUAGUAUUUUGAAAAUAUAAUACGAUGAUGGCGUAUGGUUUGGUGUCGGUGUUGAAAUUAGGGCAUGGCGGUCCACCCGAACCGCACCACAUUUUAAACUUAAGGGUAAAAAAGCAUAAAUAAAUGAAAAUAGUAGAGGAUUAUUAUUAUUACUAUAAGGUUAUUUACAAGAGCAAGUUGAUUAAUGAUUAAUUGAUUAUCAUUAGCGUGGAGUUGAGCCGGGUCAAAAUCUGAAACAGCACGUUGAUUGUAUUGGUCAGGUCAGCCGCGGAAGAAAGAAAAGUGAAAAUUGAGGAAGCGAAGCGAACCAAACCAAACCACCUUUUAGCUUUUGAUUGCUUCUGUUUGUGAGAGUGUGAGUGAGCAUUUCACGCAGCACAUGUAAUAAUAACGUGACGCCAUUUUCGCUCUCCUCACGCCCAUCAGUGUGCAUGUGAAUCUCUCUCUCUCUCUGUUUUUGUAGCUUACCUUACUCACUGGCACUAGCUUGCAAACACUCUAUAACUGCAAAUAUACGCAUUCGGUUGCACAAUUUCGAGGCGAAGAAGAUCUAGUUUCGCCGAUCCAAUCCCAAAAUGAAGUCUAACAAAACCGUAAAUCCUCUCAUCACCUUCGAACACAAGAGGUAUAUUAUUCGUUAUUCACCUCCUUCCUCUCGUAUUUCCUUCCUUCCCUCUCGCUUUUAUGUUAGAUCCGUCUAUCAACACUUCAUUUUCCUCUUUCAUUUGCUUUAUGUUUUGGUCUGAAUUUCACUUGGACUACUAUGCGACUUGCCGUUGAAUUAGUGGAUUUUGAAGAUCGCUCUCUGUCCGUUGAGUUUCAGUUGACGCCGAUUGCAAGUUUUUCUUUCUUCAUUUUAAUUUUUGUUACUUAGUAGUAGUGAGUAGUGAAUAGUGAUAAUUCAGAAUCUGCGCUGCGCUGAGGCAAUCAAUGCCGAGUGCUGUGCGAAUUGCGUUUUGUGCGGAAUGUGUCGUCGUUUUAGCUUUGGGGGCGACGAUGGGCGAUUUUAGUUGCGUUUUGCUUUAAUUCGUUGUUUCGUUUCGUACUACUUGUUUGUGUGCAGUUAAUUAUUUUGAGUCUCUGUUGAUUUUUUUUUUAUCUUUUUAUUGUUGGAUUCUGUUUUUUAUUUUUGGAAAUUAAUGCGUGUUUGGUGUGAACAGGGAUGCCUAUGGGUUUACUGUGCGGCCUCAGCACCUGCAAAGAUACCGUGAAUAUGCUAACAUUUACAAGGUCCGUCUUGUCAUGCUUUGGGUUUAUGAUUCCAGCCUUGCCACUUUUUAAGUUUUUUCUGGAAGGAUUAGGAGAGUGAUGUGAAAGAAAAUUCACUUCCUGCUAAAUUGAAGAAUCUUACGAGAUUGUACUACUUGUUGGUGGAAAUUGUUUUUGUUUUCAUCCUCAAAAGCCAAAGCUAGAAGCACUUAAUUUCGUAUCGAUGGUGUUGUUCUAAGUGUAACAAGCUUUUAUUGCUAUUUCAGGAGGAAGAGGAGGAAAGGUCAGAUAGGUGGAACUCAUUUCUUGAUAGACAGGCUGAGUCUUCUGAAUUGGCCACAGACGGAUUAGUUGUGGGGGAGGGUGAGAAGGUUUUGGGUGAUGAAGCUGCAGGGCAAGAAGCUGAUACUAGCUCGGAGAAGGGUGUUGAUGGACAUGAAGCAAGCAACCAGGUGCCUGGUGGUUCUGACAGUGCAGCAGAAAAUGGUAGUCAAAAGGAGGAGGUGCCACCAGCUGAGGAGACAAAAGUUCACAGAGUCCAGUUAUGGACAGAUAUAAGAUCAUCUCUUCGAACUAUUGAGGAUAUGAUGAGUGUUCGUGUAAAGAAGAAAACUGGGUCAGUAAAAGAUGAACAGAUUAUUGAAGCUGCAAAAUCACCAUCACAUUCUGAUGAUGUGAAAUCACCAAAAGGAGCAGCAUUUGAGGAAGACUCAGAGGAGGAGUUCUAUGAUGUUGAGAGGUCAGAUCCUAGUCCGGAUAUGCCUGUUGUUGAUGGCACAAAUGCCUCAGCAAAUGGUAUUACUGCUGAUGCUGCACCACCAGAGGCUUCAUUUCCUUGGAAAGAAGAGUUGGAAGUUCUGGUUCGUGGUGGAGUACCAAUGGCAUUGAGGGGAGAGGUAUGCACUAUAUACAUGAGAUUUGCAUUUGUUGUGAAAUUUAUUUAUUGUUUGGUGAGUUACCAUCUUUUUUGUUAUUGUGUUUCAGCUUUGGCAAGCUUUUGUUGGUGUAAAAGCAAGGCGGGUGGAGAAGUAUUAUCAGGAUCUGCUAGCCUCAGAAAAUGAUUCUGAAAUUAAAACUGAUCAGCAAAGCAUGGAGUCAACUGACAGUAAUGGGAAAACAGGUGCAGAUUUUGGAUGUAUGCCAGAAAAAUGGAAAGGAGUCAAAGGACAGAUUGAGAAGGUAUAUGCUUUUGAUAUUUCACCCUUAUUGUUCUUAAUACUGUGAUAUUAUUGGUAUGACUCUUUAAACAAGUUUCUUCUUAGUAGUCCAUUAUCAUUGCUUGUUUGCGCAGGAUCUGCCUCGAACAUUUCCUGGUCAUCCUGCUCUGGACGAGGAUGGUAGAAAUGCUUUGAGACGAUUACUUACUGCAUAUGCUCGACAUAACCCCUCAGUUGGUUACUGCCAGGUCCUUGCUUCUUUAAAGAGUUACAUGUUCUAUUUUUCCCAUUUUUUUUAUUAUAAAAGCUGUUUUUUCCAUUAUUUUUCAGUCAAUCUAAAUGAGGUGUUUAUAUUUAUAUGAAAUGAAACAUCUAUACAUCUGACUAGACUUAAAGGACUUGGUUCAUACUGAACUUGUUAGUUAAUGAGAUACCACAGUGCAACGAAUCAACAACUACAGACAUUUAUGUUGCCUUAUUUGUACUAGUUUUUUUUCCUUCCAAAAUAAAAAUUGGGGACUUGAAUUUCAUCACUUUUAAAUGAUGAGUCAAGGAAUCCAAUGGCAAUUGAUAUGACAAAUUUUAAAAAUCUUGCAAAGCUAAAUUUCCCACCUACUUACCCUUUACUAAUAUCUGAUGUAAAAUAUUUAUAUUUAUAUAUAUGAAUUCUAGAAAAUGAAACUUUUGGCUAGUCAUUAACCUUGCACUAUUUUACUUCCACAAAAUAUAUUAUUGAUCUUUGUUAAGGUAGUUUUGGACUUUGGAGCAAUGUUUCUCCAGGUUUGUGCUUGAUAGUAUAAUGAGUUGAAGAUGAUCUGUGUCACUGUGGUAUAGAAACAGUGUAUUUGAUAUCCAUAACACAAACUACAAACCUAUUGUGAAAGAUCUUUGAGCUUGAAAUGUGUUCCAAGCACAAUAGGAAUGGUUCAUAUAUGUGCAUCCUCUCACUCAAGCAUUUUGUUGAAAUUGUAAAUUGAUUAGAUGAAUUGGGAACUACUUUGUGACAAACCUCAAUCAGGCAAGAGCUGUUUUUGAGGUUGCAUGACCGACUGAAGGUGCAUAGGGCCCUAAUGCCUUGUGGCAACUUUCAUAUGUGUGAUGUGUAUGAUUCAUAAAUAGUAGUGAUCUGUCCUUUUUUUCUAAUCAUGGUAUUGAUACGAAGAGUAGUGAUCUGUCAUAUAACAUGGAUAAUUAAUUAAUUUAAGUUUGUCAUUUAUCAUAUGCCCUCUCACAUGGACAUAUCAUGUAUGUUCAUGAAAUCUACAACCCACUGAUUUAGCUUGUUGAAAUAAUUUAUAUUGCAGGCCAUGAAUUUUUUUGCUGGCUUAUUGCUACUUUUGAUGCCUGAAGAAAAUGCCUUUUGGUAUGUCCUUAGAUAACUGCUUGAGUAUUAUUUCUAGAGUAUAUGCACUUUUCAAAGUAAAUUAUGGAUAGAGCAUCAUCGUUAUAACUGCUGCUGUGUUUGAUUAACAUUGUUUCCCUGAAGGAAUGCCUGACUGAUUGCUUUAUGCUUAUGCAGCAUCUUCAGCAGCUUUUACAUUUUAAAUUUGAACUAAUUUGAUAUUCCAUCACUAACUAUGGUUUUUCCCAGGACCUUAAUGGGCAUUUUAGAUGAUUAUUUUGAUGGCUAUUAUUCAGAGGAAAUGAUAGAGUCUCAGGUAUGGUUUCUUUACUUCAUAUUAUCAAUUAAAUUAAAUGUGCAUGAAUAACUUUUACAUUUUGACAUAUAUUCAUUCAAAUAUAUUAUCAUUUUAUCAGGUGGAUCAACUUGUUUUUGAGGAGUUGGUGAGGGAGAGGUUUCCCAAAUUGGGUUUGUAAACUAUUUUAAUUCAUUUUUGUCUUUGAACUCACAAAGUGAAUUUUGUUUCUAGCAUUCCAUUUCUUAUUUGUUAUUUAAUUGUGUAUACUUAUUUUGCAGCCAAUCAUCUGGAUUAUCUGGGAGUGCAGGUGGCAUGGGUUACUGGACCAUGGUUCCUGUCCAUUUUUGUGAACAUGCUUCCUUGGGAAAGUGGUCAGGUUUUAUGUUCUAUCUAUUGAGUAGCGUAGCUUAGUAUUGCUUCACAAAGUUGCCAAUGUCAAAUGAGCAUUUGUACACUAUUGUUCGAGCUUCCUUCUGAUCUAUUGUAAUUAUUUGGACUUCAGUUCUUCGAGUGUGGGAUGUGCUUCUUUUUGAAGGAAACCGAGUCAUGCUCUUUAGAACUGCAGUUGCUUUAAUGGAGCUAUAUGGUACUGGCUGAAAAUGUUUAAUGGAAAAAGUAAACUAGCAAUGCUUAAGCCAUGCAUAUGCUCACAGAACUUAAUUUCAUCAUGUCUUGUAGGUCCUGCGUUGGUAACAACAAAGGAUGCUGGAGAUGCAGUUACUUUACUUCAGUCGUUGGCUGGCUCCACAUUUGAUAGCAGUCAGCUUGUACUGACAGCUUGCAUGGGUUACCAAAAUAUAAAUGAAACUCGUUUGCAGCAGUUGAGGAAUAAACAUCGGCCAGCUGUAAUAGCUUCCAUUGAAGAAAGAUCAAAAGGGCUUAAAGCUUGGAAGGAUUCUCAGGGACUAGCAUCAAAGCUAGCUGAUAUGCAAGUGCUUGGCAAUUUAUCUCGUACAGAAUCUGGUUCCACUAAUGCAGAUGAAAUUCUGAUUAGUCUGACUGGAGAGGGUGAGAUAGAUGCUGUUCCAGAUCUUCAAGAGCAGGUCAAUUUUGUCUUUCCUUUUGGCCCUUCUCACUUUUUAUUUGAUUGUGAUAUAGUUGAUGGUGCAUUUUAUUGCUAUCUUUUCACAUAUAUAACAUUCUCAAAUUACUAAGACUGAAGUUAAAAAAAUCCAUGUUUUAUAAAGUCAUAAUUAGUUUUGGCUACUCACUAAUGAUUGUGUUAAAAUAGGAGGAAACAGAGGAAAAUUGAAUGAAAACUGUGUGUUUAAGAACACCAUGAAUGUUGUAUUAUAUAGAUGUCAUUAUAAUAAAUACUAAUAAUGACAAUAAUGACACAGGAUAUUUUGUUUCCUCAAAAUCAGAUUCUACUUUCCUAUAAAUCCUACUUUCCUACUAAUAAUAAAUGUAUAUUAUUUUAUCCUCAUUUUCAACAGAUUGCAUUUAUCUUAAAAUGAACCCUUAACCUCAACAUGAUUAAUUUAAUUCACGUGUGGUUGACAGGUUAUUGAGGACUAUUGUCCUGAAUUGGUCCUUAGGCUCAAUUUACCUUCAUAACAUUUGCAGAUUUUCCAUUUCAAUUAUGUUUUUGGUAUAUAUUACUAAUUCAAUGCAUGCACAUUUUAUCAGAGUUGAGCAGAGUUUUGGUACAACAUUGUUAAAGCUAUGUUUUGAUAUGGUUGUUGAUUUUGUUUUACUUUAUAAGACCCACUUGAGUUAUUUAAUUAUCACCAUAUCUCAUUUUUUGUAAAUCUAAGCUGAGCAACUAAUUACAAAAUGGCAUUGUUCUUACGUUGUGAACUCCAUGCAGGUUGUCUGUUUGAAGGUUGAACUUUGUAGACUACUAGAGGAGAAAAGAUCAGCCAUUCUUAGGUACUUAAAAAUCUGACUUCUCUUGCAGUCGUGCAACUUCUUUUCUUUUCCCCCUAACCUACUCUAAAACCUUAAUCAUAUGCCCAGUUCCAUAAAGCAUUGGUUAUGAUAUAUAAUUAUAGACUUGAGUACUUCUGUCUAUGAGAAGUUUAAAUUUGUAACUUCAGAGUAUUUCGAAUUAUUCUCCUUUUGUUUUUUUUUUCUUUUUUAACCUUAAAUUACAUGACAUUGUAUAAUGUGUGUAUGUAUGUAAGUGGAGAGAGAAGUUUCCCCUGAAAAUUGAGAGAUUCACUUUUUUGCACAUAGCAUUUAUUCCUUUCAAUUUCCUCUUUUUAUCAGAGCGGAGGAGCUGGAAACAGCAUUAAUGGAAAUGGUCAAGCAGGAUAAUAGGCGGCAACUGAGUGCCAAGGUAAGUCAUGAGCGCACAUGGUUCUCCACUUCUCUGAAAGUUCUUAUCACACAUUUGUAUGGGAUACGGAUACUUGUAUUUUACUUCUACAUCCAUUUUUUUUUUGGCAAAUUCCUUUUCUGGGAUACUCUCUGCUUUCAAAGUACUACUUGAAUAUUCCAGGAUGCAGAUUCAGGUCCAUGAUACACAGACAGGAAGUUCUAUGAUGUUUAUAUAAUUGAAGUAGUAUUUAUGUGAAAGUUAAUUAGAUGAGAAUAGGAAGUGUUAUUUAAACCAGCCCAGCUCGGCUGGUCAAACCACCGGAAACCAGUAGUAUGGCCAGUCAAGUUUUUGGAUCAUUUAUGUAUUUAAUCCAGUGAGAACCGGUUAACUCAGCACUAAGUAGUAAAACCAGUGAAAAUUCGUCCACCUGACUCGGAAGGUUUUCAAAUUUACAGCUUCCAAUGUGCAUCAUAUAUAUUUACAGCAGAGUGCCAUCAUCAUCAUGUCUUCUCUACAAUCUUCUGAAUGGUGUGAUUCAUAUCGUUGAUAUAGAAUUACAGAUUCAUCUAUAUAUCACACAAUUCAAAGUCAUCUACAAAUCAUUUCGUGAUAUAGAAUUGCGCGUAUGGAAUCAUGUGAUUCGAAUUGCGAAUCAAAAGCCUCUAACAGCUAUAGAUUAGAUGUCCUGUAGACUAGGUUCUAAUUUGUUAUUUGAGAUGUUAAAGCACGUAAUUCUUAUCAUCUUCAGGUAGAGCAACUAGAUGAAGAGGUUGCUCAGCUUCGACAGGCACUUGCUGAUAAACAAGAACAAGAAACUGCUAUGCUUCAGGUCUCAUUUUGUCUGUUUGUAUUCAUUCUCGGGUUAACAUAUGUUUUCUCUUGUGUGAUGUGAGUUUUUGUUGCUGAUAGGUCUUGAUGCGGGUGGAGCAAGAGCAAAAGGUGACUGAGGAUGCUCGUAGGUUUGCUGAGCAAGAUGCAGCCGCACAAAGAUAUGCUGCGCAAGUCCUUCAGGUUACCUUUUUUCCUUUUUUUCACCUUGUAUUGCUCUUGUAUGUUGGUUAAUAUCUGUCACAUAUACAAGAUAAUCAUGUUAAAAAAGCAUCGUUGUUUUUCAGAAAGGUGAUCCUGAUUUGGGCAUCAUUGUAUUAUAGUGGCUGAUAUAUUUUGUAGCAUCUUAGACAUGAUUAUUCAUUAUUCUGUCGUAGGCUAUACUUGAAUGCCAUUUAGAAUUUAGCCCCGGAUAAUGAUAGAUUAUGUUUGUUUCACAGUUAUUUUAGGGGUGGGGGGAUUGUGGUGAUUGCACUAUGCUCAACAGUCUAAUUAGCAUUCUUUGAUUUCAGCAAAGUUGCCUCGUCUUGUGCCUAUUUUCAAUGCAAUAAUAUUAAAGUAUUUAUAAAUCUCUUUGCCUAUCCCCCAAAAAAAAUCUCUAUGCUUAAUUGCUUAUCCAUAUGUCAAGUCCAUGUCAAUGCCUUUUUAUACUGCUAUAUUAUAUUUCGACUGGUACAAUGGUGAAUUUUUCUAUUGCAAUAUCUUACAAUCAUACAUAUUAUAUUGGCAGGAAAAGUAUGAAGAAGCAACUGCUGCACUUGCUGAAAUGGAGAAGAGGGCAGUUAUGGCAGAAUCUAUGCUGGAGGCUACAUUGCAGUACCAAUCUGGCCAAGUUAAAGUGCUACAAUCUCCACGGUAUAUAAGUUUUUGAAAUAUCCCUGUAGUCUUUACAGCAUGUGUGCACCUACAAUUUUUUUUUCCGGUAGGGUUUUCAAUUUAAUAUUUUUAUUUUCAAAGUUUUUGUAACGAACAUCUGUUGUGAUUUUGACAUACAUAUCGUUAACAUUUGGUUUCUGGUGGUGAUUCUUGAAGCACCACUGUAAUGGUUGAACCUCCCCCAACUGCCAAAACUUUAGUGGAAAGGAAAUGAACAUAACUGCUUGACUUAAUGUCUUCUUGAUUUACAGAUCUUCACAGUCAGAUUCUCCGGUAUCGAGAAACAAUCAAGAGCCGGAUAUCCCUGCUAGGAGGAUAAGUUUGCUUUCUCGUCCAUUUGGACUUGGAUGGCGAGAUCGAAACAAGGUUAGCUUUAACAGCCAUUCCAAAAGGUUCAAUGUUUUAUCAAUAUUACACUUGCAUGAUUACUUUUUUUGUGGUUGAUAACUUGAAUCUGUUGUCUGCAAUAGGGGAAACCCACUAAUGAAGAGCCAGCUGAGGGAAAUCCCAGCGUUGAGGAACAAAAUACGAUCAGUGAACAAGACGUCAAUGGCCUUAAAGUACAGGAUGAGAGUAGAAAAGAAGUCAGUGCCUAGAUUUUCUUUAUAUCCUACUCAAGACAAUUUGACGAGCAAGAAGUUAGUUUCUUCUUCCUUGUCUGUAAUUUUUGUUUAGGGUGAACAUAUAAUUUCAUAUUCAUUAAUUGUUUGUUCUUUAUUAUGUAAUAGAAUAAUAGUAAUUGGAAAGUAAGUGAACGGUCGAGGUCAACUGUAAUACAUCUCUCGUUUAUUUAUAGUAGAAACUUUCUUGUGUGCGUGCGUGUGGAGGAACCUUGUGGAUUCUAUGGUUUUAGAAUAAACUUUAAGAUGGUGACAGAAACAAAGUAUGUUUGGAUGGGGUACCAAACGAAAUCGGCGUGGUGGAAAAUAAUUUAUAUGCAUUGGUAGUGUAAAUUUUUUUACAUUAAUAAUCAAUCAUAAAUUAUAAUAGGUAAAAAAUUUAGGAUAGAUUUUGUAAUAUAAUUCCUUGAAAUACAGAAUGAAACAUCAAUUUUUAUGAACAGGUUCUCUCAAAUUGAAAGACUCCGGAAGAUUUUAAACGCCCAAAUGAAGAGUGGAAAACUAUUACUUGCCAAAAUAGAAUUGAAGCAUUUAAUAAACCACAACUUGAAAUGGAAGCUGAACAAGUAGUACGUCCAUGUUAUGUUUAUAUUUAGUUUGCAUUGUCGUACAGUUAAAUACCCAAUUGAACACAAAUUUAAAAUUGUCACUCGCAAAGGUUUCGUCUAUUCUUCUAAACAAUCACAUAUGUACUAGGUCACCUCAAUGCAUCGGUACGAACAUGUACGAAAAGAAUACUGUUGUUUCCCCGGCUAACUCUGAGCUUCUCGUCACUGUAUCUGCAAAGGAAAACUCAACUAGUGAGGGAUAUUAGAGAGAUGCCAAAUAUUUUUAUUUGAUUUCUUAUUAGUUUUUAAUCAAUUCUUAACGAAUACAAAUGAGGGAAGAUGUGAAAAUGAAAGAAAAAAAACAUUAAUAGAAAACUAAAAUUAAAAAACUUACGAAUGGUUUGGUUCAAAAGAGAUUAGGGAUUUUAAUGGAAGGGAAUUUUAAUUAGAUAUUAUGUUUGGUUAAGAAAAGGGGAGGUAAGGUAGUCAUUUUCUUGUUUGAUAAGGGAAGGCAAGGAAUUUUAAAAGUAAAUUUACUUUUGUAUUUUUAUAAUUUUAAAUUUUAAAACAUAAGUAAAAAUAUUUUAGUCAGUUCAAUUCAAAUAUUUUAAAUUCUUUUUCCCUUCCUUCGAAAUUCUCAGAAUAUUAGGGGAGCAAAAAUUAGAUAAAGAGGAAUUUAGUUCUCUCCAUUCCCCUCCACUCAAAAUUUCACCAAACAUAUUCUUAAAAAGUGAAUUCAAUGCAUAUAUUGGAUUGAUUAAGAGAGAAUAUGAUGUCAUCUUACAGAAGCUCCAAUAUGAAGUUGUUUUUCAGUUCUAAGGGAUAUCCGAAUGGGCCACCAAUUAUGGCUGCAUCAUCCAUUGUAACGCCAUACACUCCGGAGCCAGUUUUUCUGUCAAAUUUGAGGCAAAAUAUCAUGAACAUUCAGUGGGGUUCGUAUUUUCAAACAGAAAAUUCAAGGAGCACGUAUAGAGAUAAAUAGAUAGAUGGAUCAACGUUGCUUUUCUAAUCUGUGCCCAUCAAGUUAUCCGUUGUCAGUUGUCACUAUAACUCACUCCUAUCCAGGCAACUGUGGUUUACUCAACAGAUUAUCAUAUACAGUUACAUACCUACUUACCUGGCAAACUACGACUUGGUAAAAUACAACCUAUAUUUUUGGAGGGAUUUUACAUACAGUUGCAGCCUUUCUUUAUUUCAUCAAUGCAAAUACCGUGAUUGUUUCAUCAGCAGGAUCCUUUCCAGUGUCAUUUGAUCUUCGCCUCAUGUUAUUCCUUUCUUCAAAUCAAUUUCUAGAAUCUCUUUCCUAAAUACUCGUUCACAAACUAAUGCCAAAAAUGUGACAAACACGUUGGAUAGAUUUGAAAUUCUUCCUCGGCCAUCAUUCAGGACAUCUUUGUGAUUCUCUUAGCCACUAAUCCAAAUGAUCAACCCCCUCUUUUGCUAUCAAUAAACUUUGAUUUUCCAAUAAGUUGAAUCAUGAUUACCUGUAGCUUUUUAAGGGCAACACAUAGGUGCAGUUCUUUAAAUACUUUUAGUGUUAUUUAGAGUUUCAUCUCAGAAUCGGUGCUGAUCUUAAUGUCCAUUUCAAUUUGAGAACAGUAUAAAAAAUAUUUAAAGAACUGCACCUAAAUUUUGUCCUCUUUAAAUAAGUCAACCAUUUCAAUUAAAGAAUCUCCCUUCCGUGCAAAGAGGCCAAAUUAUCGAUAUGACCUAUGAGAAAAGCAAUUAAUUCAUGACCUAUAAAAUAGCUGACAUAUCAAGACCUAAAUUUUGUCCUCUUUAAAUAAGUCAACCAUUUCAAUUAAAGAAUCUCCCUUCCGUGCAAAGAGGAAGUUUUUUAAAGCAAAACUGGUCUUAGGAUGUUAUUGACAUAUAAAAUAGCUGACAUAUCAAGAUAUAUGUCAAUAACAUCCUAAGACCAGAACCCCUACCCUAACUUUAACCAUGCCCUUAAAUAUCAAAGCUACACACUUCAUAAAAGAUACUUUGUCUCAGCCGCUUAGUUCAGGCAACCCAUGGCGACACCCUAAACAACCUCUCAUUGUAAAACUAAAUAUUUAGUCAUUCUACACAUUCCCAUUGAUGCCCCCGCAGAAAUUCUCCUACUUAUAAAUACCCUGUCUUAAAGUUAGAGCUUUGGCAAAGAAUUCCAAGCAUACAUUAAGCAUUGCCUAGCAUACUUACCCAGGUUCUGAUAUUACUUCUACUCAAUCUCAAUUCCUGAGAUUCCCUUAAAAUUCCUUUACCUUGAAGCCUUAACACAUUUUUAGAACAUGUACUCUCUGGAGGUGACAGAUGCGUGCCCUUGGGCUUUAAUAUCUUUGUCCAAGGCCGAAGACCCACCUUCCUCUUUGUUCACAUAUUCUAGAUCUAUCCCCUUAAUUAUCCAAAGGUUCUCCACUAUUUGUCUACAGAGAGGUUGGUCCCUUCAUUGCCACUAAAUGCCUGCCUUCCUAUUUCCUUUGUUUUGAUGACCCUCUCAUGAACAUCAGUAGUAACAUGAAACAAUGGAAACUUAC
rnacentral:lncRNA from 1 species